GCGAGAGUAGCUCAGUUGGUAGAGCAUCAGCCUUCCAAGCUGAGGGUCGCGAGUUCGAGCCUCGUCUCUCGCUCCA
rnacentral:tRNA from 3 species